rnacentral:rRNA from 1 species
UACGAAGGGUGCUAGCGUUGCUCGGAAUCACUGGGCGUAAAGGGUGCGUAGGCGGGUCUUUAAGUCAGGGGUGAAAUCCUGGAGCUCAACUCCAGAACUGCGUUUGAUACUGAAGAUCUUGAGUUCGGGAGAGGUGAGUGGAACUGCGAGUGUAGAGGUGAAAUUCGUAGAUAUUCGCAAGAACACCAGUGGCGAAGGCGGCUCACUGGCCCGAUACUGACGCUGAGGCACGAAAGCGUGGGGAGCAAACAGG